AACGAACGCUGGCGGCAGGCUUAACACAUGCAAGUCGAACGGUUGUAGCAAUACAGCAGUGGCAGACGGGUGAGUAACGCGUGGGAACGUACCUUUUGGUUCGGAACAACACAGGGAAACUUGUGCUAAUACCGGAUAAGCCCUUACGGGGAAAGAUUUAUCGCCGAAAGAUCGGCCCGCGUCUGAUUAGCUAGUUGGUGAGGUAACGGCUCACCAAGGCGACGAUCAGUAGCUGGUCUGAGAGGAUGAUCAGCCACAUUGGGACUGAGACACGGCCCAAACUCCUACGGGAGGCAGCAGUGGGGAAUAUUGGACAAUGGGCGCAAGCCUGAUCCAGCCAUGCCGCGUGAGUGAUGAAGGCCCUAGGGUUGUAAAGCUCUUUUGUGCGGGAAGAUAAUGACGGUACCGCAAGAAUAAGCCCCGGCUAACUUCGUG
rnacentral:rRNA from 1 species